AUAUCCCUAAAAUUGUGAAGCCUCUACAUGCUACUCUUCUACUACCUCUAGCGAUGAAACUCCAAUAAACCUAAAAGAUCGAAAAUUUCACAGCUUCUCUUCUCUUCCAUCACCCAUCACUCUCUCUCUCCCGUGUGCCUCCAUUCUAGAUCUGCUCGGAAACAAAAAUUGAAAGAAGUUUGGCAGUUGGGCAAUAGUACUAGAGGCUUGUUUCGAUUCUAUGAUUGGUCUUGUUUAGGAUUUGAGGGUACGUAAAUCUACUAAUGGAGAUUCCGAAGCAAAUGCAUCUUGAUCCUUAGCUGCUAGCCACUAGUUACAAGGACGAGACAUUGAGGAAUGCAGUUGCAAAGUUUAAGGGGAAGAAAUGAAGACAAUAGGUUUGUCUUUGUUUAUUCAAUCAUGCUUAAGUGGAGAUUGUAGUUACUCACUUCAGUAGGUAUUGGGCUUUUAGGUUGCAAU